rnacentral:rRNA from 1 species
GACGAACGCUGGCGGCGUGCUUAACACAUGCAAGUCGAACGGAAAGGCCCUGCUUUUGUGGGGUGCUCGAGUGGCGAACGGGUGAGUAACACGUGAGUAACCUGCCCUUGACUUUGGGAUAACUUCAGGAAACUGGGGCUAAUACCGGAUAGGAGCUCCUGCUGCAUGGUGGGGGUUGGAAAGUUUCGGCGGUUGGGGAUGGACUCGCGGCUUAUCAGCUUGUUGGUGGGGUAGUGGCUUACCAAGGCUUUGACGGGUAGCCGGCCUGAGAGGGUGACCGGCCACAUUGGGACUGAGAUACGGCCCAGACUCCUACGGGAGGCAGCAGUGGGGAAUAUUGCACAAUGGGCGGAAGCCUGAGGCAGCAACGCCGCGUGAGGGAUGACGGCCUUCGGGUUGUAAACCGCUUUCGCCUGUGACGAAGCGUGAGUGACGGUAAUGGGUAAAGAAGCACCGGCUAACUACGUG